rnacentral:lncRNA from 1 species
GACAGAAAGUGAGAUUCAAAUCCUUUCACUCUCAUAUGCUAAACCUUUUGCCUUACUCUGGGUCAUCAGAGAAAUUUAGGUGAGAAUGUAUGAUGAAGUCUGUGUUUUAGAUUCAAUGCAGAUAUAUCAUUGUGGGCAGAACUCUUUCUGGUUAUAUCCAGUUAAGAGUAAAUCAGGCUUUCAGCCGGGCGCGGUGGCUCACGCCUGUAAUCCUAGCACUUUGGGAGGCCGAGACGGGGUUUCACCUUGUUGAUCAGGCUGAUCUCCAACUCCUGACCUCAGGUCAUCCACCCACCUCCGCCACCGUGCCCGGCCGAAAUUUGUGAUUUUAUAACUAAGAAUUUUUAGUUAAGAACAUUAUCAGUAAAGACAACGUAAUCCCACCCUGGAGAGUUUAUUGGGAGCCCAGGAAUAUUCAUUUUUAAUACACACACACACACACACACACACACACACACACACACACACUGAUCAGAGUAACGGGAGUUUCUCUCAGGAGUCAUACUCCAUGAGCCUGGACCCAGUGGUUCUUUAUGUGGAAACAAAUUUCACCUAUAGGUAACCUGGUAACUGCUAUUUUCUUCUGUGUGCUCUGUCAACAAAGGUAUCAGUGGCUUGCAGGAGAUGCCUUUAAUACUCAGAGCAUUCUAUCUCCCCCUAUCUGGUUUAGAAGGAAGGCCUUCAUUAGUUACCUUUUGAGAAGUUACUAGAAC